rnacentral:tmRNA from 1 species
GGGGGCGAACUAGGAUCGACCGGAUUGCGAAGGUGUCCGGUUGCGUGCCGAGGUUGGUCAGCGGGCCUCGUAAAAAGCCGACUAAAAUGUUAACUGGCGAGAAUACCUCGCUCCGUCUCGCUGCCUAAGGCAGUUGAGUGGCAUCGCGGCGACCCUUCUCCUGCUAGGGCCGCCCGGUGACGACAAUGCGGGAUCGUUUGUGCCUAACCGCCCAUUGCGGCACGGACUAAAUUCAUGGUGGGCUAAGCGAACGGCAACCUUGUCGAUCAGGGUGUCGUCGCCGACAAUUAAAUGAUCGACUACGCACGUAGACGCCCUCACUAACGGGUCUCGGGACGCGGGUGCAAUUCCCGCCGCCUCCAC